CCGACGGUGAGGGGUGAAAGCGUGGGUAGCAAACAGGAUUAGAUACCCUGGUAGUCCACGCCGUAAACGAUGAGCACUGGACGUCCGGAGGGUUCGACCCUUCUGGGUGUCUCAGCUAACGCAUUAAGUGCUCCGCCUGGGGAGUACGGCCGCAAGGUUAAAACUCAAAGGAAUUGACGGGGACCCGCACAAGCGGUGGAGCAUGUGGUUUAAUUCGAUGCAACGCGAAGAACCUUACCUGGUCUUGACAUCCUGCGAACUUUCUAGAAAUAGAUUGGUGCCUUCGGGAACGCAGUGACAGGUGCUGCAUGGCUGUCGUCAGCUCGUGUCGUGAGAUGUUGGGUUAAGUCCCGUAACGAGCGCAACCCCUAUCCUUAUUUGCCAGCACAUCAUGGUGGGAACUAUAAGGAGACUGCCGGUGAUAAACCGGAGGAAGGCGGGGACGACGUCAAGUCAUCAUGGCCCUUACGACCAGGGCUACACACGUGCUACAAUGGGAAGGACAAAGAGCCGCGAAGCCGUGAGGUGUAGCUAAUCUCAGAAACCUUUUCGUAGUCCGGAUUGGAGUCUGCAACUCGACUCCAUGAAGUCGGAAUCGCUAGUAAUCGUAGAUCAGAAUGCUACGGUGAAUACGUUCCCGGGUCUUGCACUCACCGCCCG
rnacentral:rRNA from 1 species